AUUGGAUCAUUCAUUACUCUCUUGAAUUCAAAUCAACAUCAGAUUUAUAGUUGGAGGCUGUUGAAAUAUUGAUUUCGUUAUAGAAAUGUCAAGCUUGGCAAGGUAAGCUGUCUUAUUGCCACAGAAGGCUUUUGCUUUAGUAAACUUAUUUUUAAAAGCAGGUGGAACGUAAUGAGCAAGCGAUUUGCAUCCGUAGCAGGUAUGGCGAGAAGUUUUUAAAAUUUAAAGAGUCUACUUAACACCCCUCUGAUGCCAAAUUCCUGUCGUUAAAGUAACAAACCUGAACCACAGUAUACAAAUCCUAGUUAUUAAAAGGUCUGAUGCCGAUCUUCUGUUUCUACAGGCCCAUGACAUACUUAAAGUGGGGGUACUGAGUGGCACAAGGUGUCAUUAUUAGGGUAGUGUGUGGCUGUAGUUAGAUACAGAUGCUACAUGGUUCUGCAGUUUCUGGCCUGAUAAACAUAACACACCGUAUCAUCUUCCCAUAGAUCUUAGUUUAAUUGUCUUUAGAAAUAACAGAUCUUCCCUGCUUGUCUCUCAGUGCUGUAGAAUAAAUGAAUAUAUAUAUUUUUGAAAGCACCCUCCAUCCUCUUUACUGUCAAAAUACACAUUUUUCCCUUGAGAAAUCAUUAUGUAAAUCUGGUGCAGUCACGUUUCUCUACAGGAAGAAAAAAAAAAAAAAAAAAGGUCACUUACUAUAUUUCCAAUGAGCUAAUCAGGAAAAAAAUGGGGAGGGAGGGAGGGGAGAUUUAAAAAGAAAAAAAGAAAAGAAGGAAAAGACAAUAAUAUAUAUGGAAAAAAUGGUGAGUACCUAUAUGGUGCUUAACUUUGAAGCGUGUUUUGGUAUGUCAGAAAUUAUUUUCUACUCUGUUACUUUAAGCAAGUCUUCUUACAUGCGGAUCUCUUUCCACUCUCUAAAGAUAUGCACUGGGUACACCUAUAGCUGACAGCCACUUCUCCCUCUUCCUGGGUAAAAAAGAAUGAGGUACUGAAAAGGAGAAGAGGGGUUCUAUCAACUCAUCCUCACCUGCCCACAUUAUAUGUAUAAGAGAAUGGAGAUGUAUUGUGCUCACCCAUUUAUGCAUUAAGAGAAAAGCUGAGAAGAUCCUGGAAACUUAACUGCCUCCCCAGACCCUCCCUUAGAGCUAUUCCUUUUUGCUUUUCCUGACCUGGUCAGGAGGGCACACGACCUAAACCACCUUGAGCUGGUGAGACUAAGUUCUCAGCUACUGACCACGCUGAGAAAGUAAUCAAUUCCAGAGGGGCACAUUGCAGCUUUUGUCCCAGUUUUCAGCGGAGAGAAUCCUAAACCAGUUGUGGUUGUUUUCCUCCUGUCCCAUGACUAGAAUUUACAAAGAACUGUUUCACAUCAAGAUGGUACACCAACUUUUUGUUUUGUUUUGUUUUUUGUUUUGCUUUGUUUAAAUCCUGGGAGCUGAGCACCUUAGCAAACUCCUCUGAGCAAGCCCUACAAGUUCCCACCCUUAUAACACCUCAAUCUGAUGAUUCAAAAAAGAAACCUUUUAAUCUCAGCUCACUGAUCAGCUAAGAUAUUUUAAUGUUUUAGCUGUGAGUAAAAAAUAAUAUGCUUUCUCAAAGAGAACACCGUUAGCCUUCGGUGUCCAAGACUCUAGAAUUGGGAGUGGAAAAAUGAGCCCUGGGCUUCUGUUUCUGCCCACAGUUUUAAAAUUAAGAAUGGUAUCUUUGCACUUAAUGAAACAACCCUUCGUUGCUCAUCAAGAGGACUCAGAAUAUCAACUCUCCAGGCCCCUGACAGGGGAGUGUAAGUACUAUAUGCAGUACUUUUAAACUUGAGCAAGUAUUUUCUCCACUGAAAUUAUAGUUUUGGAAAUUCUAAUUCUUAAUCUGCUAUCCAAUUCAAAAUAGUAUUUUCGCAAAACUGAGAUGGUAGUAGAAUUGCCUCUUUUCCUUCUUUUGUGGAAUUCUUCAAAAAUGUGAAAGACGUUCAUUAAGGGAAAUCAUAAAUUAGCAAACCAGAUAAGGUAAAACUGCAUGCAGUUCACUCUGAGAAUAUGCAUUUAGUAGUAUGGUCUUGCUUCGUAUAUUUGGUGUUACAAUGGCAGAAAUAUCAUCCAUAUAAGGAAAAUGAGUUUGUGGUCCCAGGACGCUAAUGGGGUUGUCCAAGAAACCAGAUAUGCCAAUGAGGCAUUUUCUGCAUCCUUCUCAUAAUAUUUGCAAAGAUGAGAAGAGUUGUAAUUCUAAAUGCAGAGUCUUGUUUAAUUCCUUUUUCUAAGAAGUGGUGGGAAAGAUGGGUACAGUAAGGAAAUACUACUGCAGAUUACUGCCAAAGUCGAUUUCUUCUUUUUUGAUGUUUACGCGUAUAUUCAUCCUGUUAGCACAUAAAAUUCACAGCGUGAGUACUAUCAAAACUUUUUCAUUCCUGCAUUUAGCCAGUUUGGCUGUUAGCUAUUAGAGUCGUAGAGGUGGUCAUAUUGUAACACUAUAUCCAUAAUAUGAUUCGAUUAAGAUAAUUAUGCAGAAACAAACCUCCAUGAAAGAUUACCUCCUUACAUGCCUUUAUUUUUGACAUCAGUUUUUAAAGUUUUAUUGAAGUAGAGUUUAUUUACAAGGUGAUUUCUUCUUAAAUUAUUGUGUUUGGUUUAAUUUAGAUUUUCAGAAACAGAAAAAAGUGCUGUGAGAAUCCUCUAUGCUGUGAGAUCAUGUAGAUGAAGCUCUUGGUAUGUUAUACAGUGUGAUGAAAAUACUAAAAGCUAAUUGAUGCCCUAAGUGGGCUGGACUGGUUGUUCCCCCAAAAGGGCUUUACAUCUGGUGAAUCUGCUCCUUAGAUGAGCUGAUGGGCUGCACUGCCCUCGUCUCUAGGAGGCUGGCCCUGCGAUGCUGCUGUUUUCCCUGCACACAUUUUGGGCCCCAUCCCCUCAGGUCUUCAUUCAGGGCUGCCUCUACUGCUCCCACAAUUGCUUGCUGGCUGGUAGAGUUUUUUCGCUUCUUUGCCACUUUUGCCAUUCUCUGCCUUAAAAGGUCCAAAUUUGCAGUUCAACAAAUCCACAUGACUACUGUCUGUGCCACUGUGAUUCUCUAAAAUAGACAAUAACUGCCGUGAAAUGAUGCCUCAUUAUUUUUAAUCUUUUAACCUUUUGAAGUAGAAGUAUUUGAUGAGACAAACACAUCAUUUAAAAGACUUCAAAUGAGUUAUGGGUUAGAAUCAGAUGCCUGUAUAUUCCCUUGUGUAGAAAUACUUGAACAUCAUGGACAUGUAAAGGGACUGGGCUCUGGGAACCAACAAGCGCGUUAUCAGUGAGCUCCGUAACCUCUGGACGGACGCCCCUUUUCGGAUCCGCUCUCCUUGACUAUAAAGUGGAAGUCUGCAAUAAGUGAUCCAUGAGUCUGCGCAGUUCUGUACUUCUCACCACCCUUUACCAGAAAUAGCAUGUCCUGUUCCAGUCAGACUCAUGAAUGUAGAAGCCACUGAAUUAUAAACAUGCUUUUGAUGCUACAGUGUCACUGUUCUCUCCAUUUUGUCCCCAGCCUCUAACGUUGUUCUGCAGAAAGUACUUGACAGAAAGAUGAAUUGAAUAUAUGAUUAAUUAAUGGUCCAGUAAUAAGCAUUUCAAAUUGAUUCAGUCUUCAUUAGUAUAAAAUAGGAAUUUUUUUUUUACCUAUUGGGUUAAUAAAAAGCCCCAGUUAUUCUCACAUCUUUACUGUAUCUCAGUCUGAAUUUGAGACCAGAAGUCAAUUUCUACUGACCUCAGGUAGACAUUUAGAGAAGAAAAAAAAGAAAAAAAAAUUAAUUUGUACAUGUAAGUUUUAAACAUAGUUGUGGUCUGUAUUUUCUGCAGCUGAUAUUCUUAUAAAAAUCAUUGGAAAAGUGAAAGUCAUUUCUCAAAAUCACUUGCCUAAAUGAUGAAAAACUUUCUUGAAAACACUAAGCCCCCCAAAUAAAAUCUUUGCUUUUGCUUCUGUUAAUCAAUUACAUUGACCUAAGACCAUUUAACAAUGCCUAACUUAUUAUAGGAAUGGUUAAGAUGUAGACUCAGAGGUUAGCUCCUAGAAUCAAUUAAAUUCAUUUAAACCAGCAUCACCUGUUUGCAGUCCCCUCUAACAGUGUACUUUCUACCGUACGUCCAUUCCCCUCUCUUCCCUGUUCUUGAGCAAAGUACUUUCAAUUUUUCUAGGUGUCCUAGGUUCACUCAGUUGUUAUUACUACACGACUAAAGUACGUCCCAUUUACCUAAAUUCCUCUAUGAAUAUUCCUUACUAUACUUAACAAACUGCCUAAAAGUAAACAUUUUGUCCAACAUAUGUUCAAGCCCUUAAAAUUUCCUGCACCAUUGGAAAUGCAACAAAUUUACUUUGUAGACACAUCAGUUUAAACUUUGAGUCAGGUUAAGUUGUUAUAGUUACAAAACACAGUUUUUAAAACUGCUAAUUAUUCUAAGAAAAUAUCAGCUCCAUUUGAUUUCCACCACAGUACCCAGAAAAGGAAAAACGGAGCUUCAAAAGAAGUGAAAGUAUUUUUUCAAGUGAUUAAGGGACUUUAGGUAGAGUGAUGAUUACAUAGAGUAAAUUAAUACUUCUGAUAAAAUUAAUAAAUGAACAUUUUUGGAUUUUUAAUGAAGGCAUCUGUAGGAAACAAUUAUCUGCUGUCCUAAAGAUAAUUUUAAAUAUUUGACAGUGAUAUUAUGCAGAAAAAUAUCUUUAUAGCUAUGCAUUUGGGUUCGAUUCUUCCCAGAUCUCUGCACACCCCACAUGAUUUUUCUUAAUUAAAACCACAGUGGGGUGAUUCAUUUAGGGAGGAUAAAAGCAGAGCUCAAGGGUCAGCAGAAUGACAUAGUGGAAACUGUCGACUGUGGUCCCAUGGUAUUUUCUAAGUUUGGAGGCAACCAUUUCCUGGUUGAGUUCUGCCCACAGAUCUCUCAUAGAAAUUCAGAAGAACCAGUGAACUCUACUAGUAUAUUAAACAGAGGCUGUGUCCCCAGAGAGUUGGUUUAGUUGAAGACUUUUGACUUCUACAUCUUCCUCUUCAAAAUACUUGACUUCUUGGCCAAAGUUAAAUCACCUCAUUUUUGUUCUGGGAACAAAUCUCAAAAACAUAUUCAUCUACUGCUGAUAACAGAAAAGAAUGGAAAAACUGUUCUAGUCAAAGAGCAACAAUUAAAUUAAUAAAUGUUAUGAUAGUCUUUGGGGCUGUUAGUAGCAAUAGUUUCACUUGCAUAAGAGCAUUGAGCCCAAAUCUAUAACCUUAAAUAAGAAGAAUAUUCUUCCUUAAGCAAAUCAGCAAUUCAAGUGUUAAAGAUGAAUGCAAAAUUGAAGAUAGAGGGAAAUUUUAAUUUUUCAGAAGUAUUUUCUAAGAUUAAAUUAAAAUGUCUGGCUAAACAAAAACCUUGAGUAUUUAGCUAAAAAUUCUAUAUUUAAACUAUGUAGACUGAGAUGGGUGUAUG
rnacentral:lncRNA from 1 species